rnacentral:rRNA from 1 species
GACGAACGCUGGCGGCGUGCUUAACACAUGCCAGUCGAACGGUGAUGCUCCAGCUUGCUGGCGUGGAUCAGUGGCGAACGGGUGAGUAACACGUGAGCAACCUGCCCCAGACUCUGGAAUAAGCGCUGGAAACGGCGGCUAAUACUGGAUACGAAACUGGCCCGCAUGGGCAUGGUUUGGAAAGUUUUUCGGUUUGGGAUGGGCUCGCGGCCUAUCAGCUUGUUGGUGAGGUAAUGGCUCACCAAGGCGACGACGGGUAGCCGGCCUGAGAGGGCGACCGGCCACACUGGGACUGAGACACGGCCCAGACUCCUACGGGAGGCAGCAGUGGGGAAUAUUGCACAAUGGGCGAAAGCCUGAUGCAGCGACGCCGCGUGAGGGAUGACGGCCUUCGGGUUGUAAACCUCUUUCAGCAGGGAAGAAGCGAAAGUGACGGUACCUGCAGAAGAAGCACCGGCUAACUACGUG